CCCGCUCAGCCUCCUGGAAACGCUGCCGGUGCCGGCGAGCCUGCGAGGUGUCUGGGAGUUGGGCGAAAGCUGCUGACUUGGAGGCUCUUAUACCUCCGUGCAGGCGGAAAGUUUGGGGGCAGCAGUGUCAUUGGCCUGACGUGGGGAGGAGGGACUUUUAGAAGUUUUAUAGGAAAGUUUCCGCUUUCCAGCCCCCCUUCUCCGUCCCCACCCCCCUUACUCGGGGUCUAACAAUUCGUCUUCCCAAACCAUUCAAAAAGGACCUGGACCAGGCGGCCAGCCCCUCUGCCCGCCUCUUUGCUGCCCUCCCCCUUCCCUCCCCGCCGCCCUCCGCUCGCGGGCGCGGGGCGAUUUCCUUCCGCGCUGGAGCGCGCGGGCCGCGCCCCCGCACCCGAGCGCAGCCGGGGGAAGUGGCCGGAGGGGACCGUCUCCACUGCGGUGUGGGUGCCUCUCGGAGUGGCUGUGACAGCAGCGGAGGCAACAGCUUCUACGCAUUUUUGGAUGACAUACCACCUGUCUGCUGGCUUAGAGUUCUGCGAAAUAAUUUCUCUGGAUUGCAUGAAUGAAGCACAGGACCAUUCACACAGAAGAGGGCGCAGAUUGGAAAACGCUGCAAGUUGCUGGAAUAACUGAAGAAAUAAUGUAAGAAAUACACAGUUAUUCAUAGAGGCUCUUCUUGUGGCCACAAUCUUCUUACACAAAACAUUCCUAAUCACAUUCUCUGAGACCCUGCUGGAGGGAGUGAGCAAUGGACCAAAAGACCUGGAAAUGAAGAAGAGAAAAAGAUAAGAGACAAGGAACAGAGUAAAAAUAAGGACAUCAAGAGAGACAGAGCAGAGUGUGAAGAGGGAGGGUGAAAGAGGUAGCUGGAACAAGUGAACAAGAAAAAGAGAGAAUGUAUGUAUGUAGGGAGAAUAAAAGGAUUAAAUGACAAGAGAAAGAAAGAUACUAAUGCACCUAGUGGGAAAUAGAAAAGCACCAGGAUUAUUUGCCUCAUAUUUUCUGCUCAGAGAUUGUUUCAAGUAGUUGUCUGUCCCUUGGUGUAGGCAUUCAGUUUUAAAAAUCCUUGUCAUUCUCAGCCAAGUAUAACAAAAAAUAAAGAACAGGGUGGAGAGCCAUGAAACUUUUAAUUAAGGUUGACAUUCAUCUAAUAGAUAUGCUGUAUUUAGAAUUACAGUGAAGAUGGUAACAUAUUGUGGUCACUGGAUCUCAAGAUGGCGGCAGGAGGAUGUUUGGGGGAAUACGGAUGCUGUUAUUGCGAACCAUGAUGGAUGUUCAGAAAUCUGUGGUUGCUAAGGCUCCAGGCUCAUUAGUUAUCUUCCGUUUCCUCUACCAUGAAUAUCAAACUGGGUGCUUUUCCCUGUGGUUAGCCAGUAUCAAUGCCUUUGGCCUCCCACCUCAAAUACCUCAGGGAAAGACAUAGCUAUAAGUGAUGAGUCAUCCUCACUGAAGACCUUGAGAAAUUGUAAGGUUAUGGCUCUGAUUAUGGUCCAUUCAGGAGACCUGAAUUCUGGUUUCACCUGGCCCUAAUUAAUUGCAACACAUUUAUUGAUUCUUUUGUAAUUUAACAAAAAUGCAUCAAAGUCUCAAUUUUAGGUGCUCUGAAUAAGAAGAUUUUGUCUCUGACAUCAAGGAUAUCACAGUCUAAAGAGAAAUAAAACAGGAAAACAAUUUUGUAAGAAAAUGCUAACAGAGGCAAAUGCUGUAAUAGAUAUUUUCAAGGAGUGCCAAAGAAGGACACUGGACCUGAUCUGAGGUAACAGAAUGCCUUUGUGCAUUGGGAAAUUGCCUCACUGCAAUGGUAGCCUCCAAAUAAACUCCCAGGAAGCCUGUCCCAGAGAGAAACAUACAGAAAGGUCCACAGACCAAAUUAAGAUGCACAUGUCACAUGGCUUAUUGAGUCAAUUUGAAACAUAAAGUAAGAAAGAGAAAUAGAUGGAGUAGGUUAAUAUACUAUGAUAGGUUGCAAACAGGCAGGAAGGACCAUGCUACCCAGAUCCUGGGGUACACAGAUAUACAGUGUUAACAUGUUUUGUUUCUCUCUCUCUCUCUCUCCCUCCCCAGCACCCUUCCUUGCUGAUGGUGUGGUUAAGAGGUCCAAAGUUAAGGGUGAGCAAUGAUGGAGGGGACUAGGUCACUGGAGCUAAAUACAUUUGCUCUAUUAGAGAGGCACAGGACAGAUACUUUCUUUCAUAGCUGAGGCUUGAUACUUACCUGCUGAGCAGCUAUGGAUUUUCUCUGUCUUGGCCAGAGAACAGGUACGCCAGAUUGGAUGUGACCAAAGGCAGCAUAUUUAAAACCUCAUAGAUAUGGGUGCCUCAUGAAUAUGGGAUUCCCUGAGAGCUUCAUGACACUUUGAUGCUUACAUAGUCUUUCUGUCCCUUAAGAAGAAGAAAUCUCUCUGGUUACUUAUUUCCAAACUUAAUAUCAUCAAUUCUCCUUGUUUCUUUUACUCAUUUUUGGCACAAAAGUUUAGACCCUCAGU